rnacentral:tRNA from 2 species
CCGCCUGUAGCUCAGCUGGAUAGAGCAGCCGCCUCCUAAGCGGCAGGUCGCAAGUUCGAAUCUUGCCAGGCGGACCA